rnacentral:rRNA from 1 species
UACGAAGGGGGCUAGCGUUGCUCGGAAUCACUGGGCGUAAAGCGCACGUAGGCGGCUUUCUAAGUCAGGGGUGAAAUCCUGGAGCUCAACUCCAGAACUGCCUUUGAUACUGGAGAGCUUGAGUCCGGAAGAGGUGAGUGGAACUCCGAGUGUAGAGGUGAAAUUCGUAGAUAUUAGGAAGAACACCGGUGGCGAAGGCGGCCCACUGGAUCGGUACUGACGCUGAGGUGCGAAAGCGUGGGGAGCAAACAGG